rnacentral:rRNA from 1 species
UACGUAGGGCGCAAGCGUUGUCCGGAAUUAUUGGGCGUAAAGAGCUCGUAGGCGGUCUGUUACGUCCGCUGUGAAAACCCAGGGCUCAACCCUGGGCUUGCAGUGGAUACGGGCAGACUAGAGGUAGGUAGGGGAGAAUGGAAUUCCCGGUGUAGCGGUGAAAUGCGCAGAUAUCGGGAGGAACACCGGUGGCGAAGGCGGUUCUCUGGGCCUUACCUGACGCUGAGGAGCGAAAGCGUGGGGAGCGAACAGG